rnacentral:rRNA from 1 species
UACGUAGGGUGCAGGCGUUGUUCGGAAUCACUGGGCGUAAAGCGCGUGUAGGCGGCCAAGUAAGUGGGAUGUGAAAUCCCCCGGCUUACCCGGGGACCUGCAUCUCAUACUGCUUGGCUUGAGUAUGGGAGAGGAUGAGGGAAUUCCAGGUGUAGCGGUGAAAUGCGUAGAUAUCUGGAGGAACACCGGUGGCGAAGGCGGCAUCCUGGACCAACACUGACGCUGAGUGAGCGAAAGCCAGGGGAGCAAACGGG